rnacentral:rRNA from 1 species
UACGUAGGGUGCAAGCGUUAUCCGGAAUUAUUGGGCGUAAAGAGCUCGUAGGCGGUUUGUCGCGUCUGCUGUGAAAACUGGAGGCUCAACCUCCAGCCUGCAGUGGGUACGGGCAGGCUAGAGUGCGGUAGGGGAGAUUGGAAUUCCUGGUGUAGCGGUGGAAUGCGCAGAUAUCAGGAGGAACACCGAUGGCGAAGGCAGAUCUCUGGGCCGUAACUGACGCUGAGGAGCGAAAGCGUGGGGAGCGAACAGG